AGAGAUCCUGAGACCUCAUCCUCUGAGACGAUCACCAUGUUUGCUGUGAAAGCAGCUUGCCUCAUCGCCACCGUCGCUAUGCUUGUUGCAAUGGUGGCAGCGGGUGCUCCAGAUAAGAGACUCUGCCCAUCAAUAUUUCCCAUGUGUUCUAACAUGUAAAGAUGAAGAGACGUCAAGCAUCCACUGAAGCGUCUAAUUAUUAAAAACCUUUUGUAGUCAAAUUUUAAUAAAGUAGUCAUGCAUCACUA